GGCUGGUAUAAGUGCCACCUCCCUGAAAGUGUGUGGGGUAUAACUAAUAGAUAGCUGUUAAUAUGUAGUGUAUUACAUUAUUAUUCAUUAUUACUUCUGAUUAUAAUAAUUCGAAUAUAUAUUUAUAGAAUAAAAUAUAUCUAAGACUGUGGUAAAGCCUUUCCAAAGGCUUUAUCUGUUAAAUGCCAGGAGAAUGUACCUAGAGUAGACAAGUCUGGAUACUUACUUUUUGUGAUUAUUUUUGAAAUAAUAAAUGACACAGAGAAUCUUGUGUAGAACUGCAGCGUGUUGGGAUGCAGAUCCAGUACUUUGCAAGGAAAGCUCCAGCAAACAAAAGUGAAUGCAUUAAAAAAACCCUGUCAAAGUGCCACACUUCCCAGCAGACUGUGUUUCCUACCUUCUGUUGUAGUGGUUUUAAGCUCCAUUAGAAGCUUCAGCAUGACAGAGCUGCUUAAGCUGGUAUUUCACAUGCACAGUUCAUGUCUCAGCAUCUGCUGAGCACCCAAAAUAAAUGAUCUAGAAAAGCACCUCUUUGAACCUCAAUCAGCCUUUGCGAGCAGAUCGGUUUCUCUCCAUAUUUCUCAGUGGCAAGAGGUAAAAGCCUUUAAGCAGUUUAAACCACUGCUUCCUACUGUCCCCCCCCUGAAGUUAAAUCACUUGACACAGUAAUUGGCAUGUCCUCAUCGCCUGGAGCCCUAAUACUUCUAAUGAUGUCCAAACAAAUUAACUAUGAAACAAGUUAUGAAGCAGCUCAGCGGGAACUGACUGGUGGAAAGAGAGGAUCAAAGCACAAAGCUGUAAAAUGACUCCUGAAGUGCUAAUAACUUCUAAUAACUUCUAAAGGGAGAGAAUUAAACUGUGGAAAGAGCAGCUCUGUCAUAUUCUGAUUAGUUAAACACAGGUGUGGUUGGGAUGUAAUGCUGUUUGUAUUUUGGCUGGAAGAAAGCAGUAAGAAAGCUUUGAACUAAGGAAGCUCCAGACCAAAAGUGAAAAAGAAGAACCAGAUUGGAUGGAUGAGUCUCCUGAGCGCGAGUGGUGUCUGCACAGCCCACAGACAGCCAGAUGUGCUCCUGCUUUCCUCGUUCCCGUUCCCUCCAGAAGAAGGAAAGAACACAUUUAGAAAGGACCAUCAUUUUGUUUCUAUGUUCAGAAGAGCGAAGCGGAAGAGUUUCCUUCACAGAUGCCCGUUUGCGCAUUCCGGGGAGGGAUGUUAUCUCCAAGAGACAGGAAUGUCUUCCACAAGUUCCCAGAAGCACGUGAGUGGAACUCCCUGGGACCUGAACACAUCGAGCGUCUCGCAGAGGGGUGACUGGAUCUGACAGAUCACCUGUGCUUGUACAGCCUGGUUUCCAGAUACAAGUGCUGCAGAGAGCUCCGGCGAAACGAGGCUUCUCAACUUUCUUCCCUGAACAAAUUAUUCAUCAUUAAAAGCAAACAGGCAUAUAGCACUCAAGAGACACGGGGCCUCUCAUCACCAGACGUGUCAUUAUAAAUUUGCCUGCGGGGCUGUCUCUGGAGCUGGGUGUCCUGCAGCACCGACCCCUCCUCAGCAAUCAGCCGCAUCGUAAGGCUGCUACUGCUUCGUAAUUUACACUGGAGGAUGGGAAAACAUUUAUUCAUGCCUCUGUGUAGAAUCAAAGGAGACGAACACCAAGAUUCAGUGUCUGAAGGAGCUGGCAAAGCCUUAAGUGUCUGUGGGAAAUGCUGACUUGUGUUUGCAGAGGUCCCCAGCGCUGUUCCCCACUCCUGCUUCCCAGGUUGCUGGGCCUGCAGCAAUGGGCGCUCCUGUCUGUGCCGUCCCACCUGCUCUGUUUGCAGCAGCGUCCAGGGUGGUCUGUGCCUGUUGUGUUGCUCAAUAUGCACCAUGCAGGCUCAGCAGUUGAGAUUUAAAUUGCUUCAUAUCGCUGUUUGCUUAAACCUAAAUGCAGAUGUUGCUGUUUACUGUAAUGAGGUUUGCCUUUGGUUACCUUUUUCCCUGCUCGCUCCCAUCUUUGCAAAGACAACACACUUUUUCACAGGGAUAUGGCAGUUCUUAGGGAAACACGCAGAAGAAAAGACUGAAUGAUCCCAAACGAAGUGAGAAUCCACCAGCAAUAAAAGCCUCCUACGAUAUCAGAACUUACGCGUUUGUGUGUGCAAGGGUGUAGGAGUAUAAGAAAGGAAAAAUCUGCAGUUUUGAGGCUUCAGAUCCUUUGCAACAAGAUAAUGAUUUCAGGCUGAAAGCAGCAUUUGACUGAUCUUUUAAUAGAAUUCUUGGUCAGAAAAGAUCUAUUCAGAGAUCAGAGACAACCAGUAACGGCACUGACCCUGUGUUACAGUAGACCUAAGUCCUCAAAAUGAUGUGGUCUGCCAGAAGAAACCCACUGAUGGGAAGAGUGCCGCUGGAUCGUCAGAUCCGACAAGUGCCACCCCAACUGUCCUGAACGGGAAGGGCCGUUCUGCCCCCACACAUGGAAAGAGGAGCGAGAUUAAGAAUAUAAACAGGCAGUAAUGGUGUUUUGAACAAGAGAGCAGAAAUGGAGCAGGUUGCUACUCUGUAGGUGUGGUGGAUGGAGGUAUCCAAGUGCACCAGCUUUAAGGCCUUAACUUAAGAGAUAGUGCUCAAGCCGCAGAGCUCUGGGCUGCCUUUGGUGAAAUAAGGAUUGUCCUGUAGACAGAGCAGCACUCUCCUGGUGACAGUUGCAGGGAAAUGACACUCGACAGAUCCAUGGACAGCCUGUCUCUGCGGUGCUUUGCUCUCGGCGCUGCUGCGUUCUCUGCUGCUCCCAAGGACUAUCCUGGAGGUAGGAGCUACCAAAGCACCCCGCAAUUAGUUGUGUCCUCGUUUGCAAAUAGGCACAGUUCACAUGCAGGCGUUCAAGUAGUUUCUCAAGCGCUUUGUACCCCCAGAGCAUGAGGCAAAGACAAAAGAGCCCUGGGUACAGAUCAGGAGGUGGCAGCUGGAAAUCAGAGGAGCAGCCCAGGGAAUUAAGGCAGAGACCCAAGUGCUUCUGUGCCUUGGGUUCAUUUGUUCUCCCAGAAAGAUCAAGGGGAUUUAUCAUUAGAAGAAACAGAAGUAAUAACAGCUAGAGUCAUCAACAAGAUUUCUCCAAGUAUUUCCUCCCCAAAAUACCCACCGGGGUGGCAGGGUUCCCUAAUGGGAUGGUGUUAAAACAAUUGCCAGAAUAAUUAGUUUUCUAUUAGGAUACACAUGACAUUUGAUAUCUCUCUAAACUAUUGUUUCAGGCUCUCCACAGACACAAACAUGCUGGUUACACCGGCUUCGCCUACUCACCCUUUUCUUCAGAACAGAGAGGUUUACAAGAGUCCUAUUUUUUAAUUUAAGAUCCUGAGAUAAUUACAUGACUUCUGGAGGCAAGAGACUCAUUGUGCUGUGACUCAAUCCAGGCAGGCAUGCAAGUGAGAGAAUAGACAAACCAUAGCUAAUAAGAAAGCUCUUUAUUGUACACAAAAAGUUACAUUAAACUAGUAUUAAAAAGGCUGCAAAUUGAAGAACUCUGCAAUCAGAAAAUAGCAGAAUGGAGGUUGAUUUUAUGAAUUUAAUUAGCCCCUUUGCCCAUUUACAUUAUGAUAUACUCCCUAAUUACACUAUCACAUCUUUUUCCAGAGGACUGCUGUCUUGAGGUUGGAUACUGUUGCCAGCUUUAUGUGUCAUUAAUUUACUUUUUUUAAUAGAGCAGACAAACUGAAUGUGGCAAUUGCUUUCUACUCAUUUUUUCUGUUAUGGUGAGCUGUUCUUACAGAAGAAGAUUGCAGGGAAUAUCAAAGUGUGGAACAAAUAGGUUGCAACCUAUCCUACAGAUUUCCACAAGCCUCACAGAAGAGGUAUGUCUUUCUUUUAUUUACUAGCAAGGUUGCAUCAUGUAGGUGAGCUCAGGGAUACUGGUCUCCUCAGUUAACCAGCUUUGCUCAUAAUGAGGAGAUGUGUUGUGCAAUUAUUUCUGUGCUGGCAGUUUCCAGUGUUUCAGACACAAUGAGCGUUAUUUACAAAUGGUGUAAGCUGAAGCAGCUCCAACAAAAUUUGGACAUCCAUAUACUGGGAUGAAAUUUGAUCCUUUAAAUAGAUCCAGUCAGAUUCACAGGUAGGAAUUCAUCCAACCCUGAAAUCACAGAAUCACAGAAUCGACUGGGUUGGAAAAGACCUCAGAGAUCAUCGAGUCCAACCCUUGGUCCAACUCCAGUCCAUUGACUAGAUCAUGGCACUAAGUGCCAUGUCCAAUCUCAGUUUAAAAACCUCUAUGGCCGGUGAGUCCAGCACCUCCCUGGGCAGCCAUUCCAAUGCCUGACCACUCUCUCUGCAAAGAAUUGCUUUCUGAUCUCCAGCCUAAAUUUCCCCUGGCAGAGUUGAAGCCCAUGGCCCCUUGUCCUAUUGCUGACUGCCUGGGAGAAGAGACCAAUCCGCACCUGGCUAGAACUGCCCUUCAGGUAGUUCUAGAGAGUGCUGAGCUCACCUCUGAGCCUCCUCUUCUCUAGACUGAACAAGCCCAGCUCCCUCAGCCUCUCCCCAUAGGGCUUGUGUUCCUGUCCCUUCCCCAGUCUUGUUGCUCUUCUCUGGACCCGCUCCAGCACUUCAAUGUCUUUCCUGACCUGAGGGGCCCAGAACUGAACACAAUACUCCAGGUGUGGCCUCCCCAAUGCAGAGUACAGGGGAAGAAUCACUGCCCUUGGCCUGCUGACCACGCUAUUUUGCAUACAGGACAGGAUACCGUUGGCCUUCUUGAAAGAUACUUUUGUUUUGUUUUGUUAUAGUUGUGGUUUGUUUUUGUUGGUUUUUGUUUGUUUGUUUGUUGUUUUUUAAAGUUGAUAGAAUCAUAGAAUCAUUUUGGUUGGAAGAGACCCUGAAGACCACCGAGUCCAGUCAUAACUCUGGCACUGCCUCAUGUCCCUGAGAACCUCAUCUCCAUCUGUCCAGCCCUCCAGGGCUGGUGACUCCAGCACUGCCCUGGGCAGCCUGUUCCAAUGCCCCACAGCCCUUUGGGGAAGAAAUUGUUCCCCAGAUCCAACCUCAGCCUCCCCUGGCGCAACUUGAGGCCGUUUCCUCUGCUCAUGGCGCUUGUUCCUGGGGAGCAGAGCCCGACCCCCCUGGCUCCAAGCUCCUUUCAGGCAGUUCAGAGAUCAGAAGGUCUCCCCUCAGCUCCUGUUCUCCAGCUGAACCCCCAGGUCCCUCAGCCGCUCCAUCACACUUGUGCUCCAGCCCCUCACCGGCUUUUAUUUCCUCACAGUUGCUUGCAGUUUGAAUAUUUCUCAAGUUAACUGCCCCUUCAUUUUCCACUUUCCUCUCUUGCUUCACUCCUCAUCAGGAUUAACAAGAAAAACAGGCUUUUAGAAAUACCCUCUGUAAAAAUCUUCCUCGUCAGAAAUUGCUCCAUAUUGCUCCAUAUCCGUGCUGCUCUAUGAGGAUGUGAACAGGACAGCCCUGCACAUUGGCCCACACAGCGUGUGACUGGGGACACGGCUCACUGCGCGCUGGUCUGAGAUGGUCACGUUCUUCCUUUGCCACUGAGUGGGGAUCCUUCUAAAUAGUUGCAAUUCUGUUCUUCUUCUUGUGUUGUAUAUACUAGUCCUAAGUCGGAGUGGAAAACAGCCCCUGUCUGGCAGUGUCCCUAGUGGCAGUGGAAGCAUUUUUACCUUCCUGAGCUGAACCUCCUUGCAGUUGUGGACUGAAAGGCAGGAGUAGAAGUUAAAUCAACUCUGCUUCUGAGGAUUGUUUUCUUUUUCUCUACUUCAACACCAGCUUGAGAAAACCAACCAUCUCCCUGUGAUCUUUGCAGAUGCUCAGCCAGAAGCAACUUUGCCUUUCAUUUGACGAUCAUCUCUGCAGACAACAGAGAGUGAUGGACUGUGCGUGUCCUCACUGUGCCAAGAGCCAAAUGCAAACAGAGCAAUGUGUAUGUGCAAGGAAGCACCACACGUGUGGUGUAACAAAGCAAGCGGCAAGCAAGGACAUCUGAUUUAUGGAAGAGACAUUGAGACCGACUCUCUUCCCAGUUCCGCACUUUAUAGAAAUGGACCCUUCGUUUUAGCCUAAUAAUGACUCCAGAAUGUGGUCUAAUGAGUGCUACCCGUCAGACAACAGAUCUUUGAGUUUUCUCAGCCUUUUAACAGACACAGACAGACUUCCAGCCUCUUUGUCUGAAGCUUUGAUUAAACUCUUGCUGAAGUUUCCCUUUGUUGAUACGUUUCUUUUCAGGCAAAGGUGAAGCGUAGGAGAAAAAAACAGCCGAUGUCUGAGAGUGUGUCAGCUCCCGUCUCCGUCCCCAGCACCACCAUCCAGAUCUAAGUCACUUGUUGCCUUUCCCUGCUCAGUGUCUUGACUGGUCGGGUCAUGUUCUGUUCCUUAUGAGAUGUCCCACUUAGGGAGGGCACUGGCUGAGGUGAUUUAUAGCUUUUCUAUGUCAGAAGACCAAACUGUCUCGAUCCAUGGAACAGAGCUUUAAAGCCUUAAAGAGCAGAAUCUCCAGUGCUCACAGGAGCCCAUUAGUGAUUUUCUGCUUUUGAAUCUCAGCUCAGGAUGUACCAUUAGGAUCCCAGACAACCUUAUCAGAGAUGUCCAAAGGAGUUAGCAAGACACUUGCGCUGUUUGAUUCCUGUCUGACCACAGAAGCAAAAGAAAAAUAAGAAGAUGCAGAUAGAGGGGGAAAUACUCCCAUGGGGAGGGUUCUCCUUGCCUCUAAAGGAGUGUUAACAAGCAUUAAUAGAUACUAGAUGACAACAUGUUCAUAACAAAAUAUCAGUGUUUAUCAGGUAUUACAUGAUAGGUGAAACUCCUCAUCCCAGUGUUGAUAAUGAGUACAUCCAGGAGAAGUGUUUCAAAUUGGCUGCAGAUUGUAAUUAGCUUUUCCCUCUGCCUCUUUUUUCCCCUUCUUUCCUCCUCCCAUUCUGAUCUGUCACUCUUAUUACUCACACAAUUUAUCCUGUCAGGAUUCAAGAGUAAAACGAAGCCAUUUCUGAUCUUUCACCAUGAGUGGCUCCUGAAUCUUGUUAAAAUUGUCAGAUCUUAUCAGAAAAGCGACGCAGACAUCUGCAUCAGCCCUCUCCCUGACCACAUCUGCCACGAAACCUGGCAGCAGAAGGAUGUGGCACCUCUGCCUAUUAUCUCUAGCUAGCAUAAGUCCUGACACAAAAGUUGGGUUAAACUUUUCCCAUACAUACUUCUUGCAGAACUUCUACGGCGCUCUAAAAUAACAGAAAGAGAAAAGGCGACUUUUGGUUUUCCUUGCAAUUAAAGGCGUCUUCUUUCAGGCAGCCGUCGAUGUGAAAUGCAGCUGCUGCUCCGUUGCAGGUGGCCGUAGCCUGAUGUGGACCCAGCACAGCUUGGCUGCAGACACAACACACUUGAGAAUGCCAUUAGUGUUUAACCUUAAUUACAGGCCACUUACUCAGAGUUUUAUUGAGUUGAAAAUUGAUGAGAUUUCUGGGAGUCUGGUCUUGGAGUGCCUGGGGAAUAAGCCUGAAGAUCAGAGAAAACCAACAUGCUUUCCAAGAUUGCAGUGAAGCCAUGAACCUCUGCCAUUCUCUCCUCUAUGCCGAGCAGUCUGUGAUGGGAUACGGAUGUGCUGCCUCUGGACACGUUUAUGCUACAGCCUCAUGGCUUUGCCUCCACCAAGAGUGCGUCGAACAGUGUGGUGUAAGACAGCCGAGGUACAGAGCUGCUGUAAAUCUCUUCUGGCACAGGACUCUCGAGCAGAAUUUAAAAGGAUCACUUCAGCCCUUGCACACUUCUUGCGUGCCUGACAUGGUUUGUUGCCUCUGGAUAUAUUGCAGGGCCCAGCAAGCUGACUUGUGUUUCAGGGCACGACUUACAUGGUUGUUGAACUCUGCCUGGCUGCCACCCCUCUGCUUUGGAGAAAUAAGUGUUUAGAAAACAACACAGAGAAGGAAAGCAAGUGUGUGUGCAUUGUUCAUACCACUAUUGUUAUCAGUGAGCAUUCAAAACAAGCCUCAAGAAUAUCCCGAAGCCCAGUGAUCUCAACACAAACCGAUUUUGGAGAGAGAAGGAGACUUGCCAAGUUCAGAACAAAUGCAUUUAAAAGUAUAUUCCCACCAUGGAAAAAUGGGUACCUGAAUCCCAAACCAUUUCUACUUGGUGCUUGACACAUGCAACAUGGCACAUCUGCCUGUUUCUGCAGAGGAUGUGAGCAGAGAGUGUGGCAGGAAGAACAGGUAACAGAUGCACAAUAUUUCUCAGACAUUUCACUGCGAUUAUUAGGGGCUGCAAGAACAGAUACCACUAACGGGAAGAGCCAUGUGUAGGGGUUAGAAAGGAGAGGCAAAACUCAUUUAAAAACAGCCCCAGCUUAUUUGACCUGCUGCAUAUUUACUUACUGUUCAACACAGGGAGAGUGAAACAGAAGCUUGUGUUUCUGCAAAGGAUUUUUCCUCUCUAGGAAAGCAAUUUUCUGAUUUGUUCAGUGUGCCAAGAUACAGGACUGUCAGACGGACCAGAGAUGCUUACAAGGCCAAGCAGAUCAGCGCUGGCAUAGACGUUCUGACCCAGACACGCAUGCCACUAGUUUGCGUCUGGUAGGCAGAGAAAUCCUGCUCUCUGCGCAGGCUUCGUGACAGAGCUUUGUGUUGUGCGAGGCUGCAGAGAGACGUCGGAAAACAAAGUGCACCCCAGGGGAGCUCCCGCUGCUGAACCAUCGGAGAUGAGCUGGCAGUGUACCAGCCCCAGAAUAACGAGAUUGAAAAUGAGCUCUGAGAGGUGAGAUGUGAUACUGCAGGGCCAGCUGCGCUGGGUAUCAGCCUCCGUGCUGGUCUGCAGAGGGAUUUCAGCUGCCAUAGCUUGUGCAGGGAGAAAUACGCAUUCCACCGUAGGAUGGAAGCAACAACGUCCUUGACUGCUGAGACUUUCUGAAGGCUGGAUUCAGGAGAACAACUUCUCGUGAAGCAGGGAUUAAAAUCCAGUGCCUCUGCGAAGUGUGAUAGGAUCACAGAAUAGUUUGGGUUGGCAUGGACCUUCCCAGCUCCCCCAGUGCCCCCCCUGCCAUGAGCAGGGACAUCUUCACCAGCUCAGGUUGCUCAGAGCCCCGUCCAGCCUGGCCUGGGAUGUCUCCAGGGAUGGUUCAUCCACCACCUCUCUGGCCAACCUGGGCCAGGCUCCCACCACCCUCAGGGACAACAAUUUCUUCCUCAUGUCCAGCCUGAAUCUUCCCUCUUUUAGUUUAUCAUCAGCCCUUGUUCUGUCUUAACAGGCCCUGCUGAAAAGUAUGAACAGCUACAGGGCAGCGUGCGAGAGCCCCAGUGCCAGGACUGCAAGCUCUAGGUCUCGCUCUUUUGGGAAAUGCCAUUCUAGCUUCCAGCCACAUCAACCCUUGAAUCCUGCCAAAUGGACACACCUGCCUUUCUGUGUGCAAGCCCUUCAGCCCUGGAAUAAAUUGCAUGGUGCAAAUAGGGACUCAGAUGAAACCACUGAGCUCUAGGAUGGCUCAGGAGGUGGAGGCAGGAGUGGGUGGGGAUGGAAAUGCGCUCACUGCCCAGGGAGUGUUUGGACAGAGGAUUUCAGCACAGCCAAUGCUGUAAAUCUGGACAAAGUGUGUCGGUGGAGCUGUGUUUUGACAGGAGCUCUCCAAAUCUGAGAUCAUAAAGGAGAGUUGGAAGGAAAUGGUUCUGAAUUGGUAAACUACUGACAGACCUGUGUAAUGAGAAAUAUCUGUCAGCUUCUCCAUGCACACUAGAUUUAUUCAC